UGAUGUGAGUAUUUUCAUAACCUGUAAAAACAAAGCACAAAAAGUACAAAAGUUAACAUGCAAAAUCAAAACAGCCUUACUUGAUUUCCAAUGAAGGCCAUCUCCAGAAAGAUUACUAACAGUGCAGCUACCACCAAUUCUCCCAGUAAAGUUAAUAUGAAUAUGUAAAAGUUUAAACAUGCAAAAGUCCCGAAUAAACUAGAAAUUUGUUAUUGUUCCACUGGACCACUGCUUAUGCUCCCAUGUUUCACAUGCUGGCGGCAAUUUUCCAUAGCAAGGCAUGGUCUGGAUAAUAUUUGCUUAUACUUGAAAAACUUCUUAGCAACCUCCUAAGACAACAAAGAUCAUGAGAAUUCAGCAUGCACCUUAUAUUUACCCCUUCUCCAAAGGAGGUGCCCAAGAUUCUUUAUGCAACUGACUAUUUCCCAUGCAGGUGUUCUCCCCCCAUCCACAUUUCAUUAAGUUACAGUAGCAUCUCAACAUUCUCAUACAA
rnacentral:misc_RNA from 1 species